rnacentral:rRNA from 1 species
GACCUCGGAUCAGGUAGGAAUACCCGCUGAACUUAAGCAUAUCAAUAAGCGGAGGAAAAGAAACCAACAGGGAUUGCCCUAGUAACGGCGAGUGAAGCGGCAACAGCUCAAAUUUGAAAUCUGGCUUUGGCCCGAGUUGUAAUUUGCAGAGGAAGCUUCUGGCAACGCGCCGUCCGAGUCCCCUGGAACGGGGCGCCAUAGAGGGUGAGAGCCCCGUAUGGACGGAUGUCUAGCCUGUGUGAAGCUCCUUCGACGAGUCGAGUAGUUUGGGAAUGCUGCUCAAAAUGGGAGGUAAAUUCCUUCUAAAGCUAAAUAUUGGCCAGAGACCGAUAGCGCACAAGUAGAGUGAUCGAAAGAUGAAAAGCACUUUGAAAAGAGGGUUAAACAGCACGUGAAAUUGUUGAAAGGGAAGCGC